rnacentral:rRNA from 1 species
GUGGGGAAUAUUGGACAAUGGGGGGAACCCUGAUCCAGCCAUGCCGCGUGUGUGAAGAAGGCCUUUUGGUUGUAAAGCACUUUAAGCGAGGAGGAGGCUACCGAGAUUAAUACUCUUGGAUAGUGGACGUUACUCGCAGAAUAAGCACCGGCUAACUCUGUGCCAGCAGCCGCGGUAAUACAGAGGGUGCAAGCGUUAAUCGGAUUUACUGGGCGUAAAGCGCGCGUAGGUGGCCAAUUAAGUCAAAUGUGAAAUCCCCGAGCUUAACUUGGGAAUUGCAUUCGAUACUGGUUGGCUAGAGUAUGGGAGAGGAUGGUAGAAUUCCAGGUGUAGCGGUGAAAUGCGUAGAGAUCUGGAGGAAUACCGAUGGCGAAGGCAGCCAUCUGGCCUAAUACCGACACUGAGGUGCGAAAGCAUGGGGAGCAAACAGGAUUAGAAACCCCGGUAGUCC